AUGAGGACUUAUACACUGAGCCAAAGACUGCAAAACAAGAGGAGAUGCAAACCUUACUAGACUCAUUAGACCUACCUUCAAUAGGAACGAAACAAAAUGAUCUCAUGACAGCAGAAAUUUCCACGGAAGAAAUUAAAAAAACAAUUGGCAAACUGAAAUCAAACAAGGCACCUGGGAGUGAUGGCUUUCCAUCAGAAUGGUAUAAAGAAUUCGAAGAAAUAAUUAUUCCACUGCUUCACUCCACUUUCAAUUGGAUUUUAUCAAGUGGACAAACUCCACCCUCCUGGAAGGAGGCAGUCAUUACAGUACUUCCUAAGCCAUUAAAGGACAAGGAACAUUGUCAAAACUACAGACCAAUUUCUAUAUUAAACAUUGACUAUAAAAUAUACACCUCUAUAAUUUCAAAUAGACUCCAAUCAUUUAUAUCAAACUUAAUAGAUGAGGACCAAACCGGAUUCGUCAAAGGUAGACAAACACACGAUAAUAUAAGAAGAACACUUCACAUCAUAAACAGUAUACAUAAAAAAAAAAAAAAA